UUGCUGAUUCAUGAUAUGGUCGCACAGCUUAAAUUCAUUAAACCCCCAAACUUAAAAAAAACACAUUCCUAUCAGUGUUACUCCCAGUUUCUGAAAGCGCCUCUGUUAUAUGCAUUACUAGUACACUGUACCUCGACAACACAUCGUUUCCUCAUUCGCCGGUAUUGUGGACUCGAGCAUACUUGCCGCCCGCAAAGACUGCACCAUUCACGCACGUGGUGCGGUGGCGGCCGUUCUUGGUCGGCGCGAACGCAGUAAGUGUCAUCCGAAUCGUGGCGCCAGUUAAUCUACGAGGAACGACGUCGACGAAGG
rnacentral:lncRNA from 1 species